GUGUUUGAGAUAUAAACCAGCCCGCUAGCUUCAGUUUUCGGUGUUAAAAUGACCUGCUAGUUAUUCACGAAUGCGCAGAACAUGUUUUUUGCCGGACUGCGACGACCUACCCCUACACUGCAACCACAAACGUGAGAAUGUCCAUAUAACGUCGGGCAGCCAUUUUCGCCCGUCAGCGCCCAAAUUGAUUGCUGCAUCCAUUUCAUUCAUGGCUCCUCUACCUCCCUUGAGGAUUCAGCUCCGGCAGAGAGAGAUCAAGAGAGCAGACAAAAUGACCAGUCAUCGAAACCUUCCUGGAAAACAAAGAUCUUUCCAAUCUAAUCACUAUUUUGAAGAAGAUAUAAAGUUGAUCAUUGAUAUAUACCUCUUGUAUGAAUACUGUUUUUUAAUUUACUGAUCAAGGGAUGAAAUAUAUUUCAGAUGACAUUUGAUGUAGUCUGUCAUUUUUCAAUGAGUAUAAGAGGACAGUUACUCUAAUAUCAUACGGAUGUUACUCGGACAUGAUGUCCGUGUAACAUUGGUAACUGGAGGUGUUGAGGUGAAUAUAGACCAUAAAUCUUGCAGGUUUCCUUUCAAUUGUGUUAUCAUCUCAUUAAAUAUGUUUCAUGCAUCAAUUAAUUAGCACAUUUCUUGGAAUGUAGCCAAGAUUUUCUAUGCAAGAGAAAAGAUUACCCUUUAGAAAAAAAACAUGAUCUGAAAAUU